CCAGAACAUAUUGCAUCGAGAUAUUUGGAAACCGUAGUAAGUUAUCAUACUUGUUUGGUUGUAAAUAUUUCCAAAUUUAAGUAUAUUAUACCAUGGAAGAUAGUAUACGGUAUGGAAUUUUAGAUCGAAAUUAGAUUAUGGAUCCUGGCUGAGGAAAAGAUUGAUGAAGAGUGAUCGUCUGGGAUGAGUUCGGAUUUUUUUAAACAUUUGGGGAAAAAAAGAAAAUUCGAUAGAGAGAACUAUAAGUAUACACGCAUAGAGAACAAUUACGAAGAAAUCUAUGGUCAAGAUGCAACAGAAGACGAAAUCUUUUCCUCGGAGGUCUAUCCCCUCAAAGAAAGGAAAAAUGAACAUUUUCUGCCCAAAUCAAAGUCUAUGCACUACGUGGAGCAUCAAAUAAAGGAUGGGGAUUCGCUACAAAAAUUAUCGCUCAUCUAUCGCUGCCCAGUAGGUAUUUUCGGUUAAUUGUAUUUUGCUUAAAUUCAGAAACAAUAAGAGCAUAGAAACCCUG
rnacentral:lncRNA from 1 species